rnacentral:misc_RNA from 1 species
GAUGAAGAACGCAGCGAAAUGCGAUAAGUAAUGUGAAUUGCAGAAUUCAGUGAAUCAUCGAAUCUUUGAACGCACAUUGCGCCCGCCAGUAUUCUGGCGGGCAUGCCUGUUCGAGCGUCAUUUCAACCAUCAAGCCCCCGGCUUGUGUUGGGGACCUGCGGCUGCCGCAGGCCCUGAAAACCAGUGGCGGGCUCGCUAGUCACUCCGAGCGUAGUAAUACAUCUCGCUCAGGGCGUGCUGCGGGUUCCGGCCGUUAAAAAGCCUUAUUUACCCAAGGUUGACCUCGGAUCAGGUAGGAAGACCCGCUGAACUUAAGAAUAUCAAUAAGCGGAGGA